UACGGAGGGUGCAAGCGUUGUCCGGAUUUAUUGGGUUUAAAGGGUGCGUAGGCGGCCCUGUAAGUCAGUGGUGAAAUACUGCAGCUUAACUGUAGCAUUGCCAUUGAUACUGUAGGGCUUGAGUACAGAUGAGGUAGGCGGAAUUGAUGGUGUAGCGGUGAAAUGCAUAGAUACCAUCAAGAACACCGAUUGCGAGGGCAGCUUACUAAGCUGUAACUGACGCUGAGGCACGAAAGCGUGGGGAUCGAACAGG
rnacentral:rRNA from 1 species